UACGUAGGGUGCAAGCGUUAAUCGGAAUUACUGGGCGUAAAGCGUGCGCAGGCGGUUUUGUAAGUCUGACGUGAAAGCCCCGGGCUCAACCUGGGAAUUGCGUUGGAGACUGCAAGGCUUGAAUCUGGCAGAGGGGGGUAGAAUUCCACAUGUAGCAGUGAAAUGCGUAGAGAUGUGGAGGAACACCGAUGGCGAAGGCAGCCCCCUGGGUCAAGAUUGACGCUCAUGCACGAAAGCGUGGGGAGCAAACAGG
rnacentral:rRNA from 1 species